rnacentral:rRNA from 1 species
CCUACGGGUGGCAGCAGUGGGGAAUAUUGGACAAUGGGGGGAACCCUGAUCCAGCCAUGCCGCGUGUGUGAAGAAGGCCCUCGGGUUUUAAAGCACUUUCAGUGAGGAAGAACGCCUGGUGGUUAAUACCCAUCAGGAAAGACAUCACUCACAGAAGAAGCACCGGCUAACUCCGUGCCAGCAGCCGCGGUAAUACGGAGGGUGCGAGCGUUAAUCGGAAUUACUGGGCGUAAAGCGCGCGUAGGUGGCUUGAUAAGCCGGUUGUGAAAGCCCCGGGCUCAACCUGGGCACGGCAUCCGGAACUGUCAAGCUAGAGUGCAGGAGAGGAAGGUAGAAUUCCCGGUGUAGCGGUGAAAUGCGUAGAGAUCGGGAGGAAUACCAGUGGCGAAGGCGGCCUUCUAGACUGACACUGACACUGAGGUGCGAAAGCGUGGGUAGCAAACAGGAUUAGAUACCCCUGUAGUC